GGAGAUGGAUGGUCCCUGGUGGGGCCCGCGGCCUUCAAAGCCGUUGCGGGGCGUGAAGAGCGUCCUGGGUGCGUUCGAUUCGCACGCAUCUCCGCCA
rnacentral:tRNA from 1 species